GCCUUGCAUUUAAUAACCCUCUAGGGCUAAGACAGCUUUGUGUGUAAGUCCACUCGGUGCCAUAUGGCAGUUUCCAAUUCCUUUAGCAACUCAAUUCUAGCUAGACUGCCCGCAAUGAUUCAUUCUUAAAGGAAGACCCCUUGGGGCUCAGUAAUGCCCCCUCCACUUACCUAGCUCCCACCGACCCCGCUCGGCAGGCGGCUCGGGCUCCACAAAGAGCUGUGGGAUUCCCCGCUCCCUCCGGGGCUCCUCUCCCCGCGACGGUCCCCUUCGCCAAUGAUCUGUCGCUGGAAAUCCCCCUCCCCUCCACGGAGAGGAGGGUCUCCCCGGCUGGCUGGAGCUCUUGCCUUUUUUUUUUUUUCCACCCUCUCUUUACAUGCCUGACUCUGGUUCACGAUCUCUAGUAGGAAGGCUCAACGGAGAGGCGGCGGGAGGAAGGAAGCUAAGGCAUCCUUAAAAAGAACAAUAAUCUUCAGAGAUCUUCACCCCCUUCCCCAUCGCGGGUCCCCAUUCCCCUGCCGCCGCCGGCGGCGCCCAGACCAGAGAGGGCUGGGAUAGAAAAGGAAAAAAAAUCGAGCCGGGCUCAGCUCGCCGCGCGGAAGGAGCCGGGAAGGCGAGCGGCUCCAGCCGGGGGAGUUGUCGCUCGCUCGGGCUGCCCGCGGCGCGGCGGCCGGCGGGGGCGCAGGGCGGUGGGUGCUUGGUGGGUGUGUGUCUGUGGCGGAGCCGGGGAGAGGCUGGGCGCGGGAGGCGAGGCGGGGCGCUCGGGGGCGCCAGCUCGGGCGCGCACACCCGCCCGCGGCCACCCCGCCUCGCGCUCCGCCUCCUCCCGCGCUCCGCGCGCCCGCGGACUGGAGCGGCGGCCGUCGCCGCCGCCGCCUUCUCCUCCUCUUCCUGGGCGCCCGCAGCUCUCGAGAGAACUGUGCCAAGUUCCUCCUUGGAGAGGCAGCCAGAUGGACACCCAGAACUUUCCGUAUCUUCGUGUCGAGGAUGAAAAUCUGGUUAAAACAAAUGUAGACGUUGACAAGCACAAUCUACAAAAAGGAGAGAAAAGGAAAAGAAAUAACCUAUUGGUGGUCCUCAAAGGGAUGGAGACUGCAACUCUAUACAGAAAAGAAAAAGGCAAAUGCACCUCACAGAGAACUGGGACACUGUGAAUCAUCUACUUUUGAAUUCUUACAAUUGGAAAUUAGAAACUUAUGAAGGAUUUGUAGCUAUGCUUGGGAAAUAGUGAAUUUAAAUCUAUCUGUCCGUCUAUGUGCUGUGCUUGGUCGUUCAGUCAUGUCUGACUCUUUGAGGCCCCGUGAACUGUAGCCCACUAGGUUCCUCUGCCCAUGGAAUUUCCCAGGCAAGAAUACUGGAGACGGAGGAUCUUCCCGACUCAGGAAUCUAACCUGCAUCUUUUGCAUCUCCUGCAUUGGCAGGCAGAUUCUUUACCACCAGUGCCACCUGGUAGGCAUAUUUUCUAUGGCACUGUCCCAUUAAUUUAUUUAUUUGUAUAGUCAGUCAGUCAUUCUGGAAUAUUUUGAGCCUCUACUGUAUGCCAGGUUCUAUUGCUGUUCAUGGAUAAUGCAAAAGUGGGCAUGUUGGACAUGAUUUAUGUAUGCACAAAGUUUACAUUCUGGUGAAGGAGCAAACAGCCCACUCUUAAAAAAACACACAGAGAAAACUGUGUAUUAAUAAGCGGUCUGAAGAAAUUAAUAGUUUGAGAAAGAAACUAAGAGAGGGUGACCUAUUUUUGACAGAGGGGUCAGGGAUAGCAUAAGAGUCAUAUCAGAUGAAACUGGAAGUGGAGGAACCAUUCCAGAGAUGGUGGGGAACCAUUCCAGAGAGUAGAGAGGGCCAGUGGUGAUAAGGAGCAACAAGGUAUGGACACCUCUGUGGUGCUUGCUGAUUGGGUGAUGUGAGGUCAACAGAGAUUUAUUGGUUUGCUUUAAGGGAGAUAUUAGAGUCUACAAGUGUGCUGAUGAAAAAUGACCUGAUGGAAAUUGACUGGUGAGGCAAGAGUGUGUGCUUUACCGAGGGAGCAGAGCCCUUCGGAUAGUGAGGAUGUGUGGCUGAGUGGCUGUCAGGGAAUAGGACUUGAUGGGAGGAGAACAUCCACCGAGGAGGAUGCAGAAUGUGAGUUGUGAAGCUCUGGUGGAAGGAAGGGGAGGGGCUCUGUGUCUGAUGGUUUCUCUUUGCUCAGUGAAAUAUGAGAGAAGAUGCAGCUGUGAGAGAGAGUUGUGGGGUUGUGUGAAAGAAACGAGAGAGAUGUGAAGUCACAUGGAGCCUCCCAGAAAACACUGACACUUUUGAUGUGGUUACAUCCCAUCAUUAUAGGACGUUUAGCAAAUUCCCUGGUGGCUCAGGUGGUAAAGAAUCUACUUGCAGUUCAGGAGACCCAGUUCUGUGUCAAAAAGAUCCCCUACAUGGCAACCCAUUCCAGUAUUCUUGUCUGGAGAAUCCCAUGGACAGAGGAGCCUAGUGGGCUACAGUCCAUGGGAUCGCACAGAGGUGGACACAACUGAGCAACUAACACUUUCACACUAGCGAAAUCCUUGACCUGUACCAGGUAGAUACCAGCAAAACUUCCAUUGAGUCAUGGAAACAGAAGGUAUCUCUAGACAUUGACAUAUAUACCCAGGAGGAAAAAACUGCCUGUUUGAGAAUCACUGCCCUAAAGCUACCACCAAAAAAAGAAAGUAUAACUAAUAAGCCAUGGAGAAGAUGAAAUGGCGUAAGAAAUACUGGAUUAGUUCAAAAGAAGGUUGGAAACAAAGGGAAAAAGGAACAAAGAAUAGAUGAAACAAAUAGAAAACAACUGUGAAGAGGAUGGAUUUAAAUCCAAUUAUAGUCAUCAUUAUGCUAAAUUUAGGUGGUCUAAACAUCCUGAUUAAAAGACAAAGAUUAUCAAAUUGAAUCUAAAUGUAAGACUCAAUUAUAUGUGCCUACAGGAAAAUCCAAUAUAAAUAGACAGAUGUAGAUGUUAAAAGAGAAAAGACAGAAACUGUACAUAGCAUGGAAAAACUAAUUAUGAGAAAGCUGGAAUAAAUAUGUUAAUAUGAGACA
rnacentral:lncRNA from 1 species